rnacentral:rRNA from 1 species
AUUGAACGCUGGCGGCAGGCCUAACACAUGCAAGUCGAGCGGAUGAAGGGAGCUUGCUCCUGGAUUCAGCGGCGGACGGGUGAGUAAUGCCUAGGAAUCUGCCUGGUAGUGGGGGAUAACGUCCGGAAACGGGCGCUAAUACCGCAUACGUCCUGAGGGAGAAAGUGGGGGAUCUUCGGACCUCACGCUAUCAGAUGAGCCUAGGUCGGAUUAGCUAGUUGGUGGGGUAAAGGCCUACCAAGGCGACGAUCCGUAACUGGUCUGAGAGGAUGAUCAGUCACACUGGAGCUGAGACACGGUCCAGACUCCUACGGGAGGCAGCAGUGGGGAAUAUUGGACAAUGGGCGAAAGCCUGAUCCAGCCACGCCGCGUGUGUGAAGAAGGUCUUCGGAUUGUAAAGCACUUUAAGUUGGGAGGAAGGGCAGUAAGUUAAUACCUUGCUGUUUUGACGUUACCAACAGAAUAAGCACCGGCUAACUUCGUG